GAUGAACGCUGGCGGCGUGCCUAAUACAUGCAAGUCGAGCGAACAGACGAGGAGCUUGCUCCUCUGACGUUAGCGGCGGACGGGUGAGUAACACGUGGAUAACCUACCUAUAAGACUGGGAUAACUUCGGGAAACCGGAGCUAAUACCGGAUAAUAUAUUGAACCGCAUGGUUCAAUAGUGAAAGACGGUUUUGCUGUCACUUAUAGAUGGAUCCGCGCCGCAUUAGCUAGUUGGUAAGGUAACGGCUUACCAAGGCAACGAUGCGUAGCCGACCUGAGAGGGUGAUCGGCCACCCUGGAACUGAGACACGGUCCAGACUCCUACGGGAGGCAGCAGUAGGGAAUCUUCCGCAAUGGGCGAAAGCCUGACGGAGCAACGCCGCGUGAGCGAUGAAGGUCUUCGGAUCGUAAAACUCUGUUAUUAGGGAAGAACAAAUGUGUAAGUAACUAUGCACGUCUUGACGGUACCUAAUCAGAAAGCCACGGCUAACUACGUG
rnacentral:rRNA from 1 species